GUCUGGGUGGAGAGGAUGAGGGUGGGGGCCUAUUUGUUUCCUUCAUAGAUAAUCUUGGAGAUCAUUUUCUGCUCUCAUUUAUGAGGGAACAUCAUCUCCAGUUCCUCUUCCUUCGAAAUAGUAUAGGAAGAUAGAUGUUAUUUCCAUAGGGUUGUGUUCCAGGAAGGAAGAGGGACUUUAUCUUUUCAUUCAUUCAUGGUUAUCUUCCGAAGAGUUAGCGUGAGCCAGGCGCGUGCACAAAGGUGUAUGGGGAAGCCAGAAGCAGCCCCAGAUUGGUUUCCGUUUGAGAAGGCUAGAGUGGGGUGGGCGGCUUACAAGCUCAAGGAAGCCCGAGAGAUGCUCUGUUUUUAGAGAUUUAGAUUGUUUCUUUUUUGUUUGUUUUUUGCUCUUGUAACUAAGGAGCUGGCCUCUUUUGGAGGCUGGGGCAUAUUGAGUGGGAGGACCCAGGUUGGUCCAAAAGGUAUCAGUUAGGACCCAGGUCCUAACAACAUUACAGAUGUUGUUUUUGAGAGUUCUCUCUCUCUCUCUUUUUUUCUUUGAGAUGGAAAACUUUUCCUUUGAUUUCAAAACUUAUUUUUAAUAUGCUGAGCUCAUUGGGGGCGAAUUAAAUUUGUCUUUUAGAUAAAAAAGAAAAGUGUGGCUGUAAAGUAGUGCAACUAAGUUUUAUUUUUAAAAGAGGAGUGUGUAAGUGUUGCACAAGCCCCGUGACAGCACACAGGUAUUCUGAGGCAUUUUGAAGAAUGGAAGAGACCUUGUUAUAGAAAAGGAGAGAAAAUAUGCUUUAAGAUCAGAGUGUGGGGCUCUGUCCUGGCCUCCGUGGUAUUCUUGCUGGGUGGUGCUAACUCAUCUGUUUAGCCAGAUUUGGCUGUGAAUCCCGGGAUCCUCCUGUGUCUGCCUCCCCAGCUUGGGAUUCCGUGGGUGCUGACUAGACUGCAGUUCAUACCUAAGGGAGCUUCCACCUCCUCUCCUGGUUAUGCUGCGGGUGGAUCUUUUUUGGAGAGGCAUCAAAAGCUUAGCUUUUGCUACUGGGGAAGUGAAGACAUUCUGAGGAGAAGCCAUUGACCCCAAGUUCUAGUGGCAACCUUGGAGAUGCAUUGUGGUUUUAGCUUGAUCUUUCUCUUGGAUCCAAUCCCAGACUGGUCUCACCGCUACGAAGCACUUAAGGAUCACUCCUGUGGAAAACCAGCAUUUCCACUCAGCAGCUGGAGUCACUUGGAAUGAAUAAGGAUGCAUGUUCCUGUCUGGUCAGUCUCAUAUGCUGAGUUUAGGAUGCUCAGCCCCACCAUUCUACACUAGAGAACCUUCAAAAGACCCUCCCAGUGGCAUGAGGAUGUCUUGCAUAAGAUCAUGUGGAAGACAAACUGAAUCAUCACUGAGUGUUUCCCCUAAACAUUUUUUUUUCUCCUAUGAAUACCAGUUUGAAGUCCUUGGGCCAAGUUGAGUCUUUGUACAUUUCUGAGGCUAACCUAAGACUCAAGUAGUACAGGCUCACCUUGAAGAUCCUCUUGCUUCAGUGUCCUGAGUGCUGCAAUUAUAGGUAUGUAUCACCACACCUGGCUGGAGCUGGGCUAUUUGGUUGCACAAUCCCUCUGCCUGCUGCAGAACAUCCAUCCAUCCAUCCGAAGUGGGCUCUCGUAGUCAGAGAAGCAGCAGAGCCAAGAACCA